AUGCGAUAAGUAAUGUGAAUUGCAGAAUUCAGUGAAUCAUCGAAUCUUUGAACGCACCUUGCGCUCCUUGGUAUUCCGAGGAGCAUGCCUGUUUGAGUGUCAUUAAAUUCUCAAUCUCUACAACUUUGUGUUGUCUAGAUUGGAAGUGGGGGUUUGUUGUGUGGAAUCUAAUUCCUCACUCCCCUUAAAUGCAUUAGCUGGAAUGCCUCUGCAUUACCUGACUAUCAGUGUGAUAAUUAUCUAUGCUGUAGUUGUUGCAUGAGGGUAUCUGCUUCAUAAAUCGUCGCAUGACAUUUCUAUAUGACCAUCUUGACCUCAAAUCAGGUAGGACUACCCGCUGAACUUAA
rnacentral:misc_RNA from 1 species